AUGUAUUAGUAAUAUAAAAUAGGAACUUAGUAAUUCAUUUCAAUUCAUUGACUGCAACAUCAAGAGCAAAAGAAACUCAAACUCUUAUUUCUUUCUUCUCCACCGAAACUCACUCUCUCCACUAUAUCAUUCCCAAAUUCUUAGCCAAAUCCACAUGCAACCUCACUCUAAUGGUAGUAGAACCUUAAGGAAUCAAGUAUGAAAGAAACAACUCCUCCCCUUCCUCUCAAAAGGGCGUGAAUCCCCAUCUCACAACCAAAGGGGCAAUCUCUAAUUUCACAUGAUUUGGUCAUGCAUGUGUUAAAUUAAUAGCAUCUUCUGAGUUGAUCAAGGAUUAAGGGAUUUAAGGACCAUAAUAACAGUGAGUAAGUGGAAGAUGGAAAAGCNNNNNNNNNNNNNNNNNNNNNAGGGAGGCAGUAGAAUCAUGGAGAUUUGGAGAACUAGAUUGGUGAAAUAGGAAUUGGGAAUUGGAAGAAGUAUGUGAAACCCAUAUUCUGGACAGGGUUUCACUAAAAUGGUCAGUACUCUCUCCUCGUAACUCUGAUUUAAAUUCCGUUUGUUUCUAGUUAGCUAACGAAAUUCCAGUCGUUUAGAUGCCAAUUUCGUGAACUGGGGAGCUUUAACGAAUUCAGGAGACGCGUCUGAAGUCCAGGGUCAGAUGCAGAAUUUUGGAUUGAAUUAGCAUCGUUGUCAUCUUAUGAGUUAUUGGAAAUUCAAAUGGAGCCUUAAAGGUUGAUUUUGGAGUACAAGACAGUAGUUGCUCUUUCUUGGAUUUCAGGUGGGUUUAUCUUUAAGUAGAAACAUGGCAACCAUAAGUCCAAAGCAUAGUGUUUUAUUUCAUCAUUUAUGUUUAUGGCAUGAUUAGUAACCUAGACAACUCAUAAAUUGAUUAAUGAUGAAAUUGGACUUAAUUCGCAUUGCAUGUGACUGUAAUUAGUUGUAUCCAUCAUGAUUAGAAUGUUAGAAAUAGUUAGAGACUGUUUAGAAUUGUGAUUCUGCAGGUUUACCACAUUUUUCCAUGAUUCAUGAAUCGGUCCAAGGAGAGUUUGAGCCUGUGCAAUUGGUAAGUUUGCACCGGUGCAAGCCAACUUUGAACCGGAGCAUGAAACCCAACUUUGACCCCUAUGCAGUCCAGGAGCACUGAUGAACUGGUGCAAGUUAGUCUUCAACCGGUGAAUCCUGACUAAAACAGUUUUAAAUGUGAGAAGUACCUAAUCAUCAUGGAUAUAACCGAUCGUACAUGUUUAAAAUAUGAGAAUAGGUAGCAAACUGAAUUAGAAACCUACACAGGGAUCUAAUGGAUCAGUUAGGAUUUCCCCGAGAUGGGUAAUUAUGUUAAGAUAUCAGAAUUAUUGUAGUUGAUCAGUUAGUGGUUGAUCCCGAACCACAGAUUAUGUAGCCUUGGGCUAUGAGACUAGCGUAUGCUAGGAGAGAUUCUACACUGUUAGUGAGAAUCAGUUUAGUUAAAUUGUGAGCUGAUGUGGUUCUCUGAUCUACAUUUAAUAUCAGGGACCAUAGCACGACCUUCGAGAACCGCUCACCUCGAAGUGUCCGUGAGUUAUAAAAACAACCAAGAUAAGUUUGUGUGAUACACCUUUAUUUAUACUAUGCUAUUCUUUAAUGAAUAUGAGUUACUAGUGAUCAACUAUUUGCAAGACCCUGGUGUUAGUACACCAAGUAGAGGGUAGUAAGAAACUCACUGAGACUUAGUAGUCUCACUCCACGAUUAUUUGAUUUUAGGUAACAUGUUGCUCGUUCAAGAAGCUGAGGAUUGGACGGGACAAUGAGAUUAAGGAAGACUGUUCGAUGUUUACCUGUUUCAAUCUUAAUAAACACUUGUAUAGGAUUAUGCUACAUGUACAUGUAUUUAGCGGUUACCAUNNN
rnacentral:lncRNA from 1 species